AGUAAACAGUAUAGGAACGGAGCGAAGACGCGCCCCUCCAAUGAGGAAGGAGCGGGGCAGGGGCCCCGCGGAAUCCGAAUAGGAGGUCAGAUUGCGGGAAUGCGAAGCAUGGAGCAAUCUGAGUAAACA
rnacentral:sRNA from 1 species